AAAAACCAAGAUUGUUAAAUAAAAACACAUUUUGACAGCUCAAUUAAUAUGAAGGAUGUCAUUCAGGUGUCAUGAUUACUCUGGAUUUAAGACUUGAGGGCAUUAUGGAGUCAUUUUGUAUGUGGAGUCUCUCUCUUUCCUAUACAGAGGUUGGGCGGUUCCUCAUCAGCGCUGGCUCCUCCCGCACCUUCGCACCUGAUCUCCUAAUCACCACAUGCUUUUAAGCUCUGCUUUGAGGACCCAGACAGCUAAUUGUCAGAUUAUUCUCUCAUGCACUGUGUGUGUAUCUCGACCAGUUUCUAGUGAAGUCUUUUGCAAAAUUCUAAGAUUUACCAGUGUACUGUAUGUUUCUGCCUUUGAUUUAUCCCCGCUCUCCUCCUUUGUUACUUCAGUGCCUCUGCCAGCCACCAGUGUCUGCCCAACCUCUGUCAGGACUGCCACAGCCUCACUCCAGAUUCACUCACCUGCAG